GUUUCAACCUUUGUUAUCGCUUCUGACAAGGGACAGGAUUCGAUUCCAGAGCAUAUUGACUCACUUUGAUUUUGAUGCCCAUAUAUAUAGAUCCUCGGUUUUGGGGGCGAUGAUUUGGCCUGUCGAUCAGCCAGGACUGCAGCCUAGAUGGAGAUGGGAAGGAUACAGAGCAGAGGGUAGAAAAUACCUCUUCAGAUUCUUUAAAAAAACAUGCAAGCAAGAUAAAGAAGUGCAGAUACAAGUACGGUACAAGAAGAGAGCAUCUAAUUAAAGAAAAGGGGACGGCAGGAGAGAAACGUAGAGACAACACGAGAGAGAAUCCACGAGAUGCUUCUAUCACCGGACCGGAAAUUGGAAUAAUGUCCACAGAAAAUAAAAAUAAGGCAUGGACGGUUGAUGGCCCAUCUACGUAUCUACAUGCUGGGCUAACAUCAAGGAUGUGUCGCGGUUGCUCCGUAGCCGUCCAUGUUUAUAUGAUGAUCAGAGAGAGAAUCUCCGACCGCACAACUGCAGGAGUGUUUCACAUGACCGGCACUUCCGGAACGGGAAGCGGAGAGAGGUGGUUGGUAACUUGAGCUCGGCGGCCCAUCAAACUAGGCACUGCAACUCGUUUUUAUUCGCCGACGAUGCUUCCCUUCUUCCCCGUUCUCUCUUUCAGUCUUCUCACAUCUGAGAAGGAAUAUAAGAGUAUUGGAGAAGAAUUCCAGACACACACAGAGAGAGAGAGAGAGAGAGAGUAUUCUUUCUGAUACCGCUUCCGCUGAAACUGGGCAAGGUGGGUAUAACCCUGCGGUACGGGGCCGGACGCUCCCUGCUACGUCUUCGUCACCGUCUGCUACGUCUGGUUCUGCGCCCUUUGCACCAUCAUCCUCGCCCCCGCCGAUAUCUGGACCGUCAGAAUGUCCACAAAAGGUUUCCCGGACUUCCCAUUCUAUAUGUCGCUCACAAUUUACUGAGGCUAAGCAGUCUUGCAACUAUUUUGCUGAAAUGCAAGAAUGGCUAUCAUUCCCACUAUUCAAGGUUAUGAAGAUGCUGGAUAUUUCUCAGUGAUAGAAAGGCUAAAAGCCAGUCUUCGAGAGAACUUUUUUUUCCAUCUAGUCAUGGGAACUGUUAGUCUUAUUGGACUUAUUCUGCUCAUUAUUAUGCACAGAACUUGGUUAUGCUUUUUACCCCCGCUUAAAGUCA